GACGAACGCUGGCGGCGUGCUUAACACAUGCAAGUCGAGCGGUAAGGCUCUUUCGGGGGUACACGAGCGGCGAACGGGUGAGUAACACGUGGGUGACCUGCCCUCAGCUCUGGGAUAAGCCUGGGAAACCGGGUCUAAUACUGGAUAUGACUCCAUGACGCAUGUUGUGGGGUGGAAAGCCUUGUGCGGCUGAGGAUGGGCCCGCGGCCUAUCAGCUUGUUGGGGGGUGAUGGCCUACCAAGGCGACGACGGGUAGCCGGCCUGAGAGGGCGACCGGCCACACUGGGACUGAGACACGGCCCAGACUCCUACGGGAGGCAGCAGUGGGGAAUCUUGCGCAAUGGGCGAAAGCCUGACGCAGCGACGCCGCGUGAGGGAUGACGGCC
rnacentral:rRNA from 1 species